CACGUAGGGGGCGAGCGUUGUCCGGAUUUAUUGGGCGUAAAGAGCUCGUAGGCGGCUCAGUAAGUCGGGUGUGAAACUCCAGGCUCAACCUGGAGACGCCACCCGAUACUGCUGUGGCUAGAGUCCGGUAGGGGAGCAUGGAAUUCCUGGUGUAGCGGUGAAAUGCGCAGAUAUCAGGAGGAACACCAGUGGCGAAGGCGGUGCUCUGGGCCGGAACUGACGCUGAGGAGCGAAAGCGUGGGAGCAAACAGG
rnacentral:rRNA from 1 species